UACGAAGGGGCUAGCGUUGUUCGGAUUUACUGGGCGUAAAGCGCACGUAGGCGGUUGUUAAGUCAGGGUGAAAUCCUGGAGCUCAACUCCAGAACUGCCUUUGAUACUGGCAACCUAGAGGCUGGAAGAGGUUAGUGGAAUUCCCAGUGUAGAGGUGAAAUUCGUAGAUAUUGGGAAGAACACCAGUGGCGAAGGCGGCUAACUGGUCCAGAUCUGACGCUGAGGUGCGAAAGCGUGGGAGCAAACAGG
rnacentral:rRNA from 1 species